rnacentral:rRNA from 1 species
GACGUAGGGCGCGAGCGUUGUCCGGAUUUAUUGGGCGUAAAGAGCUCGUAGGCGGCUUGUCGCGUCGAAUGUGAAAACUCGGGGCUCAACUCCGAGCUUGCAUUUGAUACGGGCAGGCUAGAGUUCGGUAGGGGAGACUGGAAUUCCUGGUGUAGCGGUGAAAUGCGCAGAUAUCAGGAGGAACACCGGUGGCGAAGGCGGGUCUCUGGGCCGAUACUGACGCUGAGGAGCGAAAGCGUGGGGAGCGAACAGG